UCAAGAUUGGAAAAGCCCGGGGCUCAACCUUCGGAAAUUGCAUUUGAAACUGGCCAACUAGAGUACUGUAGAGGGGGGUAGAAUUUCAGGUGUAGCGGUGAAAUGCGUAGAGAUCUGAAGGAAUACCGGUGGCGAAGGCGGCCCCCUGGACAGAUACUGACACUCAGAUGCGAAAGCGUGGGGAGCAAACAGGAUUAGAUACCCUGGUAGUCCACGCCGUAAACGAUGUCUACUUGGAGGUUGUGGCCUUGAGCCGUGGCUUUCGGAGCUAACGCGUUAAGUAGACCGCCUGGGGAGUACGGUCGCAAGAUUAAAACUCAAAUGAAUUGACGGGGGCCCGCACAAGCGGUGGAGCAUGUGGUUUAAUUCGAUGCAACGCGAAGAACCUUACCUACUCUUGACAUCUACAGAAGCCAGCGGAGACGCAGGUGUGCCUUCGGGAACUGUAAGACAGGUGCUGCAUGGCUGUCGUCAGCUCGUGUUGUGAAAUGUUGGGUUAAGUCCCGCAACGAGCGCAACCCUUAUCCUUGUUUGCCAGCACUUCGGGUGGGAACUCCAGGGAGACUGCCGGUGAUAAACCGGAGGAAGGUGGGGACGACGUCAAGUCAUCAUGGCCCUUACGAGUAGGGCUACACACGUGCUACAAUGGCGCAUACAGAGGGCGGCCAACUUGCGAAAGUGAGCGAAUCCCAAAAAGUGCGUCGUAGUCCGGAUUGGAGUCUGCAACUCGACUCCAUGAAGUCGGAAUCGCUAGUAAUCGUGGAUCAGAAUGCCACGGUGAAUACGUUCCCGGGCCUUGUACACACCGCCCGUCACACCAUGGGAGUGGGCUGCAAAAGAAGUGGGUAGUUUAACCUUCGGGAGGACGCUCACCACUUUGUGGUUCAUGACUGGGGUGAAGUCGUAACAAGGUAACCG
rnacentral:rRNA from 1 species